AGGUCCCCCUGUCUAUGUGGCUGACUUUGCUAACUCAUUUCUUUGCAGCAUCAGAUGGACUGGAUGUAAAGCAGAGAUGAACAGAGGAGGCUGGAGGAGCACAGUCAGAAGAUGCAGAGCCCUCGGCCCAACAGACGAUAGGCACCAGAGGGAAGGUGAGCCCGGUGAGGAAGGCAGUGCACAGACUUCUAACGCGCAGUCCAACGUGACAGGGACCCUGCCUGUAAGAGG